AGUGUCCCCAUGAGAGAGAUGCAGGCUGAGAUUCGCCUCACCACUGCAUGCCUGCUGUUUUCUGCUGGACUGUACAGAGAGGAGUGAGUCAUCCACAGCUCUGCAGGGCCUGCUUCUUCCUAGGAGGUGGCACGCACCAUGCAAAAGAAUGACCGGUCCGGGGACGAAAGCCAGCGGGACAGUGUGUCCGAUGAUUCAUCUGACUCCCCAGAGCCGGGGCCAGUCA
rnacentral:lncRNA from 1 species